UACGAAGGGGGCUAGCGUUGUUCGGAAUUACUGGGCGUAAAGCGCACGUAGGCGGGUCGUUAAGUCAGGGGUGAAAUCCCGGAGCUCAACUCCGGAACUGCCUUUGAUACUGGCGAUCUUGAGAUCGGAAGAGGUGAGUGGAAUUCCCAGUGUAGAGGUGAAAUUCGUAGAUAUUGGGAAGAACACCAGUGGCGAAGGCGGCUCACUGGUCCGAUACUGACGCUGAGGUGCGAAAGCGUGGGGAG
rnacentral:rRNA from 1 species